rnacentral:lncRNA from 1 species
CUCCUUCGGCAUAUGCCCAAUCAGCAUAUUGCCUUCUUGCAACAUCCGAUCUCCUUAGCGUAAUGUCUAAUCUUAAUGGUCUGAUACCCGAACUCAUGGCACGAAGCCUUUUGUAGACAUAUCGACCAUGCCUCUAGUUUGACGUCAAAUCUUCUGACAUGUUCAAUUCUUGCUCAACUUCUUAUUCUUCUUGCUUUAAUAAAUUUG